rnacentral:rRNA from 1 species
UACGUAGGGACCAAGCGUUGUUCGGAUUUACUGGGCGUAAAGGGCGCGUAGGCGGCAUGACAAGUCACUUGUGAAAUCUCCGGGCUUAACUCGGAACGGUCAAGUGAUACUGUCGCGCUAGAGUGCGGAAGGGGCAAUCAGAAUUCUUGGUGUAGCGGUGAAAUGCGUAGAUAUCGAGAGGAACACCAGUGGCGAAGGCGAGUCCCUGGACAACUCCUGACACUGAGGCACGAAAGCUAGGGGAGCAAACAGG